UAAAAAAUUAGCUUUGGCUCAUACAUUUGUAACACAGUAGUUAAUGUUACAAGAUAAGCAGUAUAGGGGAAAUGUAUCUGAGGGGAAAAUCAAGUGCUGGAAGCUCAAGAGACACUUAUAAGGUCACAGAACAAAGCUGUGCCUACUAUGUGUCAGGCACUGUUUUAGGUGCUUAGGAUACAGAAGCAAAGGACACAAAUCUCUGCUUUCAUGAAGCUCAUAGACAAUAUGAGAAAAAAAAGAAGGAGGAGGGGGAAGAAGAAGCAGAAGAGGAAGAAGAAGACAGUCAAUUCUGUGUUAGGAUCCUGUGUCUAGAAGAAGAGGGAAGCAUUUCCCUAAAAGGAGAGAGGUGCUGCUCUCAAUAGAAAUAAUUUGCCUAUUGUUCAAUUUAAUCUUUUAGAAAAAUAUCUUAUUCUCUUAGUACUACUCCCAAUAGCAGGUUGCGAUUUCCUGAUGUAGUGUGUUUCACUAUAAGGCCACAUAGUACAGCAGAAAGAGCACUACGCUGAAUGCCGGGAAAAUGGAUUCUCCUAGCUUUAACAUGAAUCAGCUCUGUCCUUGGACUAGUUCUUAAACUUCUCUGGAUUUCAGUUUCUUUGUCUCAGAACGGUGUCAUCUCCAUGAGGGCAGGAACCAAGUCUGUCCAAGAUGGAGAUUUACACUUGGUAACAACCUCUGGGGCUUGGGUUGGAUAGAAGAAGAAGCCGAACUGUGAUAUGGUUGCAACAAAGACUUCGGAUAGUCAUGGGGAGCCCUAGACUGAGGAUGAUCUUUCAGAGUUGUCACAAAUUUCACCAAGUUGACCUACUUUAUAUCCCCAUUAUAGACUAGAUGUGCACUGUCCAUAAGAAGGGACCUUAAACUUGGGUGAAGCAGUUUCCUGAGCCUCAGCAACCCCUGGAGGAUUCAGCUGAGAACUGAUGGCAGCCAAUAGCCCCAGCUGCUGGAAGAGUGUGUGCCUUGGUCCUGAAAGAGGAUAGCCGAGCAGUACACUGUGACAUCUACUAUAUAUAAUCAGUAUAUUCAUAGCACCAAUAGGUACAGUGCUUGGCACAGGGUAGGUGCUUAUUAAUUAUUUGUCAAAUGAAUAAACUAUGUGAAAAAGAAGGUGUGGAGAGGUGCCUGGUGGCUCAGUCAGUUGGAUGUCCAACUCUUGGUUACAGCUCAGGUCAUGAUCUUAUGGGUUGUGGGAUUGGCCCAUGUCAGGCUCCGUCCUCGGUGGGGAGUCUGCUUGAAGAUUCUCUCCCUCUGACCCUCCCCCUACUCAUGCGCACACUCUCUCUCUCUCAAAUAAAUAAAUAAAUCUUUUUUUUUUUUUAAGGAAGGUGUGGAUUAGAUAAUCCCUCUUGACAGUAUUGCAUACAUCUAUUUGUCUCCCGGAGGAUGUGUGGAAAGGGUGAUUAAUCAAAAUACUCACAGUUUUUGUUAUUGUUCUUUUUAAAUAAAGGAGUAGGAAUAGAACUAGGAGAAGAAUGUUUACUAAAAUUAAUGUUGACUGACCUGUUUGGCUAGAGAGCAUAAAGCAUUCUUUGUGAUUAACAGUAGAAAACAUUAAGGAAGCAAUUACUAUAGAUAUUCCAUAGAGUCACACUGUGCUGUCCAAUACAAUAGCCACUAGCCACAGGAGGCUAUUUCAUUUAAAUGAAAUAAAAUAAAAAAUUUCAAUUAAAAUGAAAUAAAAUAAAAAAUUCAUUUCCUCAAUCACACUACUCACAUAUCAAGUGCUCAGUAGCCAUAUGUGGCUACUAGCUAUCACAUUAAACAUGCCGAAUAUUUCCAUCAUCACAGGGAGUUCUAGUGAACAGUACUGGUCUACACUGAGUAGUUGUGUUCUUUACUUCCAUUCAAUAAAAAUCUAAUUUACUCUCAUGAAUUCUGCUGCUCAUUUCAGUGAGAUGGCUGAAACUGGAGCCAAAACUUUGAAGGGCUUGGGGGAAAAGGAUUGCCCUGUAUCCACAUUUUUUCUUAGAAAUCCAAGUAGUGGGGCGC